rnacentral:rRNA from 1 species
CGGACGGGUGAGUAACGCGUGGGUAACCUGCCUCAUACAGGGGGAUAACAGUUAGAAAUGACUGCUAAUACCGCAUAAGACCACAGUAUCGCAUGAUACAGGGGCCAAAGCCCAGACGGUAUGAGAUGGACCCGCGUCUGAUUAGGUAGUUGGUGAGGUAACGGCUCACCAAGCCGACGAUCAGUAGCCGACCUGAGAGGGUGACCGGCCACAUUGGGACUGAGACACGGCCCAAACUCCUACGGAAGGCAGCAG